rnacentral:rRNA from 1 species
AUUGAACGCUGGCGGCAUGCUUUACACAUGCAAGUCGAACGGCAGCGCGGGCUUCGGCCUGGCGGCGAGUGGCGAACGGGUGAGUAAUGCAUCGGAACGUGCCCAGUAGUGGGGGAUAGCCCGGCGAAAGCCGGAUUAAUACCGCAUACGACCUGAGGGUGAAAGCGGGGGACCGAAAGGCCUCGCGCUAUUGGAGCGGCCGAUGUCGGAUUAGCUAGUUGGUGGGGUAAAGGCUUACGAAGGCGACGAUCCGUAGCUGGUCUGAGAGGACGACCAGCCACACUGGGACUGAGACACGGCCCAGACUCCUACGGGAGGCAGCAGUGGGGAAUUUUGGACAAUGGGGGCAACCCUGAUCCAGCCAUGCCGCGUGCGGGAAGAAGGCCUUCGGGUUGUAAACCGCUUUUGUUCGGGAAGAAAUCCUCUGGGCUAAUACCCCGGGGGGAUGACGGUACCGGAAGAAUAAGCACCGGCUAACUACGUG